rnacentral:rRNA from 1 species
GCGGAGGAAAAGAAAAUAACAAUGAUUCCCUCAGUAACGGCGAGUGAACAGGGAAAAGCUCACAGUUGGAACCUAGCUGCCUUAGGUAGUUCGGAUUGUAAACUGAAAAAGUGUUAUCCAGGCUAGCCGAGUAAAAAAGUUUCUUGGAAUAGAACAUCAUGGAGGGUGAGAAUCCCGUCUUUGGCUUGAGCAUAGUCUUUUGUGUUACACUUUAACGAGUCAGGUUGUUUGGGAAUGCAGCCUAAAGUGGGAGGUAAAUCCCUCCUAAAGCUAAAUAUUGGCGAGAGACCGAUAGCAAACAAGUACCGUGAGGGAAAGAUGAAAAGAACUUUGAAAAGAGAGUUAAACAGUAUGUGAAAUUGCUAAAAGGGAAGCGUUUGAAGACAGACUAGCUUGGUUAUAAUCAGCCUGGAUUUUUCUUGGUGUACUUGUAGCCUAUGCUUGCCAACAGCAGUUUGGUUUGGCUGAAAAAACUAGUAGUAAGGUGGCUCUCUUCGGGGAGUGUUAUAGACUAUUAGAAAAUCAGUUGGACUGGACUGAGGAAUGCAAUGCAGCUUGCCUUGGGGUGAACCAGAUUGGAUAGGAACCAUUGUUCCUUGAAGGUUUGGGUAGCUCCUCGAACUGUAUUUAGGUUGUUGGCUUAAUGUCUUUAAACGGC